rnacentral:misc_RNA from 1 species
UGGUGGUGGAAGGCAAAGCAG